AACACAUGCAAGUCGAACGGGACUGUUCGGACUGAUUUUCGGAAUGACGUUCGUGCAGUUAGUGGCGGACGGGUGAGGUAACGCGUGGGUAACCUGCCUCACACAGGGGGACAACAGUUGGAAACGACUGCUAAUACCGCAUAAGCGCACGGUAUCGCAUGGUACAGUGUGAAAAACUCCGGUGGUGUGAGAUGGACCCGCGUCUGAUUAGCUGGUUGGUGAGGUAACGGCCCACCAAGGCGACGAUCAGUAGCCGGCCUGAGAGGGUGAACGGCCACAUUGGGACUGAGACACGGCCCAAACUCCUACGGGAGGCAGCAGUGGGGAAUAUUGCACAAUGGGGGGAACCCUGAUGCAGCGACGCCGCGUGAGUGAUGAAGUAUUUCGGUAUGUAAAGCUCUAUCAGCAGGGAAGAAGAAGGACGGUACCUGACUAAGAAGCCCCGGCUAACUACGUGCCAGCCGCGGC
rnacentral:rRNA from 1 species